GUCAAACGUAAGUAACGAGUUUUAAAUAUUUUUUUUUACAUAACGAGUACUCGAAAAAAUGGAAUAUCAGCCGUGUUAGAACCGGCCGUGCAAUUUUUCAUUAAUUUCUCCAAAUAAAAUCAAAAUUUAUUUAAUAAAUUGUGUUUUAAAGUUUAAUUUAAAAACUAAAGAACGACUACCACCAAAAAUUAACUAGAAAUUACCACAAAUAUUGGGAUAAUUUCUAAAGAAAACUUUUACAAAAAGAAACUUUUUUGCGACUUGCGUGGAAAAAACGGAAAAAGAAAACGUAAAGAAAAAAACUAAUAAAAAAGCAAAAAGAAAAAAAAAUAGUAAAUCAAAGUGAAAAUUUUUUUGAACAUAUAAUUAAUAAAGGAAAAUUUCUUUUUAAUUAAAAAAUUUUAAGCAUUGAAAGAUCUUAAAAGAAAAUUUGUGACAACUAGUAAAAGUGUCUGGACGGAAAGAAGAAAAAAUCAUUAAAAGGUGUUGAAAUGAGAAAAAAGUAAAACUUAAUUAAAACUUUAUGCAGUUUUUUAUGGGCCAAUUAAUUUGUUGAGCUGGAAAUAGACGUUGGCUGUUGGUGGACGUUUUUGAUGUUUUAAUAUCGUCGUUCUGGCAAAAGGAAAUACACAUUUUUUAUUUUUUUUAAUCUCAAGCCACAAAUGUUUGGUAUUCAAGCAAAAUAUGUUUGCAAAAAAUGCCCAGAAAUGCUGCAAAGAAAACGAAUAAAAUGCUAAAAAACGUCUUCCAGUUUUAAUCAAGUUAACAAAUAUAAAUUUAAACAAUAAUAAAA